GACUAACGCUGGCGGCGUGCCUAAUACAUGCAAGUCGAACGGGAUUCUUUGAUCAGCUUGCUGAGAGAAGGAUCUAGUGGCGGACGGGUGAGUAACGCGUGGGAAUCUGCCUCUUACUGGGGGAUAACAGUGGGAAACUACUGCUAAUACCGCAUACGAUCUACGGAUGAAAGCGGGGGAUCGCAAGACCUCGCGCGAAUGGAGCGGCCGAUGUCAGAUUAGGUAGUUGGUGGGGUAAAGGCUCACCAAGCCAACGAUCUGUAGCUGGUCUGAGAGGACGACCAGCCACACUGGAACUGAGACACGGUCCAGACUCCUACGGGAGGCAGCAGUGGGGAAUUUUGGACAAUGGGCGCAAGCCUGAUCCAGCCAUUCCGCGUGCAGGAUGAAGGCCUCGGUUGUAACUGACUUUGUACGACGAACGGUCUGCCUAAUACGCGGGCUAAUGACGGUACCGUAAGAAUAAGCACCGGCUAACUACGUGCCAG
rnacentral:rRNA from 1 species